AAUUUUAACCCUAAACCCUAACACAUCUGAAACUCAACUCCUCCUUAUUCCUACCCGCGCCGCUCUUCUCACUCUCAGCCUCUCAUUCGUCCCUCCCUUCCGUCCAGCGCCGCGCCGUGCCGUCGUCCACCCGUCGUCGCCGUGUCGUCCGCCUGUCGCGGACUACCCAGGCUGGGCCGGGCGUCUCCCCUUCCGCGACGCGACAGCCCAGGCGACUACCCCCUUCUCGGUUCCAGUUUCUAGCGGCGAGAAGAAGGCCCCCUUCCGGCGGCAGCCCAGGCGACAGGCGUCGUCCUUGGAGGCGGAGGCGACUACCCCCUUCCGGCUUCCAGUUUCCAGCGGCGACUACCCCCUACCCGACUUCCCCUUCCGGCGCGGCUGCCGGCCUGUACCCUAGGUGUGGGGAGGAGUAAACAGAUCGAAAUUGGUGUUAAGCCGAAAGCUUUUCCUCAGAUUGAAAAAUUGAAUUAUUGAAUAGUUUUAUUUUUUACUUUUGUUUUUUCUGGAUUACUUCUGUGGAUUCUGAUGAAUUUUCGAACUUCAAUUCUGCUAAUUGACUUUGGACUCUUGCCACACUUAUCCUUGUAACUGCAGGCUUGAUCUAUAUUAACUGAUGAAACUAGAUGAAACUUGUGUGCAAUUUUCCCCAAUUAAGUGAAACGUUUUGCUUCUGCCUUGAAUCAGGUGCCUUCUCUCUUGAAGCCUGCAGUUACAUUUGCUUCUGAACAAAGGGAAACUAUUACAUUUGCUGAUGUUGCUGGUGUUGACGAGGCAAAAGAGGAGCUGGAAGAGAUUGUGUCGAUCGAAGAAGAAAGCGGCGACAAUGGAGAUGCGAAAUAAAAUAAGUGGAGACGAUGGAGAUGGUCUCCUAUACAUAUCAGAGAUUCGUCUUUAUAGUACCUCGACGAGAACAAGAAAUUGAUAUUGGCUAUUUUGGAUAAUCAAAAUCUAAGCAAACUCGCUGAAUGUGCCCAAUUCUUUGAAUUGAGAAAGUGAGUGAUUGGACCUGUGAAGCCAUGGCUCUGUCAUAUGGUGAACUUGAUCUAAACAAGGCGGCUGACACUUUGCAGGUGAUUAAACUUGAGCUAGAAGAAUUCUGCAUUUGACAUGAUUAUAAAUAUUGCUGUAUAUUUCUCAACCCCAACUGGACUCAGCUUCAGAAGGUAUUCUUCACUCUGCGGUCGCGAGCAGCUCAACAGUUAUAUAGUUGAAGGAUAAGAUACAAGAUUACAGAGUUUAUAGAGAGGUGCUGGUUUUAGAAGGCAACGGAAGCCCUAGUUUUUUUUUUUUUUUUUUUUGAGUUGGGCUCAAAACAUUAUGUAUGAAUGUUUUGUGAUAUAUACAAUAUAUGUUAUUGAUGGUUUUA